UUCCCUGUAGCUCAGAUGGUAAAGAAUCUGCCUGUAAUGCAGGAAACCCGGGUUUGAACCCUGGUUGGGAUG
rnacentral:tRNA from 1 species